CUUCCCAAGGGGAUGUGCGCCUCAGGGCUGGACCUCCUCUGGCCAGCAACUAGGCCCUGGUUCUACCCUCUGCACCACACAUGGGCGCUUGGUCUCAGGUGUGCUCAUACACACACACACACAGAAACACACAGAGACAGACACAGACAUGUCACGGUGGGCAAGGUGGUGACUGCUUUUCUACUUGUGGGUUGGGGAGGCCAAGCAGGGGCAUUGGCAGUUCAAGACCUGCCCAGGCCAGUGUGUGAGAUCCUUCGUCAAAGACACUAGAAAGGGCUGGGAAAGUGGCUCAGGAGCUGAGCGCUGGCCUCACAUGCAUGACC
rnacentral:lncRNA from 1 species